UACAGAGGUCUCAAGCGUUGUUCGGAUUCAUUGGGCGUAAAGGGUGCGUAGGUGGCGCCAUAAGUCGGGCGUGAAAUCUCGGGGCUUAACUCCGAAACUGCAUUCGAUACUGUGGUGCUUGAGGACUGGAGAGGAGACUGGAAUUCAUGGUGUAGCAGUGAAAUGCGUAGAGAUCAUGAGGAAGACCAGUGGCGAAGGCGGGUCUCUGGACAGUUCCUGACACUGAGGCACGAAGGCCAGGGGAGCAAACGGG
rnacentral:rRNA from 1 species